rnacentral:rRNA from 1 species
CCUACGGGAGGCAGCAGUGAGGAAUAUUGGUCAAUGGGCGUAAGCCUGAACCAGCCAAGUCGCGUGAGGGAUGAAGGUUCUAUGGAUCGUAAACCUCUUUUAUAAGGGAAUAAAGUGUGGGACGUGUCCUGUUUUGUAUGUCCCUUAUGAAUAAGGAUCGGCUAACUCCGUGCCAGCAGCCGCGGUAAUACGGAGGAUCCGAGCGUUAUCCGGAUUUAUUGGGUUUAAAGGGUGCGUAGGCGGCCGUUUAAGUCAGCGGUGAAAGUCCGUGGCUCAACCAUGGAAUUGCCGUUGAAACUGGGCGGCUUGAGUGUGGUUGAGGCAGGCGGAAUGCGGGGUGUAGCGGUGAAAUGCUUAGAGAUCACGCAGAACCCCGAUUGCGAAGGCAGCCUGCCAAGCCAUGACUGACGCUGAGGCACGAAAGCGUGGGGAUCAAACAGGAUUAGAUACCCCUGUAGUC